rnacentral:rRNA from 1 species
AUUGAACGCUGGCGGAAUGCUUUACACAUGCAAGUCGAACGGCAGCAUAGGUGCUUGCACCUGAUGGAGAGUGGCGAACGGGUGAGUAAUACAUCGGAACGUGCCCAGCCGGGGGGGAUAACGUAGCGAAAGUUACGCUAAUACCGCAUACGAUCUAAGGAUGAAAGCGGGGGACCGUAAGGCCUCGCGCGAUUGGAGCGGCCGAUGUCAGAUUAGGUAGUUGGGGAGGUAAAGGCUCACCAAGCCGACGAUCUGUAGCUGGUCUGAGAGGACGACCAGCCACACUGGGACUGAGACACGGCCCAGACUCCUACGGGAGGCAGAAGUGGGGAAUUUUGGACAAUGGACGCAAGUCUGAUCCAGCCAUUCCGCGUGCAGGACGAAGGCCUUCGGGUUGUAAACUGCUUUUGUACGGAACGAAAAAGCUCUUACUAAUACUAGGAGUCCAUGACGGUACCGUAAGAAUAAGCACCGGCUAACUACGUGCCAGCAGCCGCGGUAA